UACGAAGGGGGCGAGCGUUGUUCGGAUUUACUGGGCGUAAAGGGCGCGCAGGCGGCUUCAUAUGUCAGGCGUGAAAGCCCCGGGCUUAACCUGGGAGGUGCGUUUGAUACGGUGGGGCUGGAGUUCGGGAGAGGAGCGUGGAAUUCCCAGUGUAGAGGUGAAAUUCGAUAGAUAUUGGGAAGAACACCGGUGGCGAAGGCGGCGCUCUGGACCGAGACUGACGCUGAGGCGCGAAAAGCGUGGGGAGCAACAGGG
rnacentral:rRNA from 1 species